GCUGCUAUGGCUCAGGAGGUAGAGCGUAUCCUUGGUAAGGAUAAGGUCCGCAGUUCGAGUCUGCGUAGCAGCACCA
rnacentral:tRNA from 1 species